CCAGAGGCAGUGUUGGUGGGAGCUCGGAGAGUGGAGCUGUGGGUGUCAGGGUCAGGCACACGCACAGCACCUCACUGAGCUCCUUCCAAAGGCAACGUCUUCCAA
ensembl:miRNA